AUUGAACGCUGGCGGCAGGCCUAACACAUGCAAGUCGAGCGCGCGGCGGACGGGUGAGUAAUGUAUGGGGACUGCCCGAUAGAGGGGGAUAACUACUGGAAACGGUGGCUAAUACCGCAUACUGUCGUAUAACCCAUAUGGGAUUAGCUAGUAGGUAAGGGAAUGGCUUACCUAGGCGACGAUCCCUAGCUGGUCUGAGAGGAUGAUCAGCAACACUGGGAGUGAGACAAGGCCCAGAGUCCUACGGAGGCAGCAGUGGGGAAUAUUGCACAAGGGGCGAAAGCCUGAUGCAGCCAUGCCGCGUGUAUGAAGAAGGCCCUAGGGUUGUAAAGUACUUUCAGUCGGGAGGCGUUACCGACAGAAGAAGCACCGGCUAACUCCGUGCCAGCAGCCGCGGUAAUAC
rnacentral:rRNA from 1 species